rnacentral:rRNA from 1 species
CUUGAACGCUGGCGGCAGGCCUAACACAUGCAAGUCGAACGAGUGGCGGACGGGUGAGUAAUGUCUGGGAAACUGCCUGAUGGAGGGGGAUAACUACUGGAACCGGUAGCUAAUACCGCAUACCAUCAGAUGUGCCCAUAUGGUAUUGGCUGUGUGGUGGGGUAACGGCUCACCAAGGCGACGAUCCCUAGCUGGUCUGAGAGGAUGACCAGCCACACUGGAACUGAUACACGGUCCAGACUCCUACGGGAGGCAGCAGUGGGGAAUAUUGCACAAGGGGCGCAAGUCUGAUGCAGCCAUGCCGCGGGUAUGAAGAAGGCCUUCGGGUUGUAAAGUACUUUCAGCGGGGAGGCGUUACCCGCAGAAGAAGCACCGGCUAACUCCGUGCCAGCCGCCGCGGUAAUAC